UACCAUUAGCUUAAUUAAUUCCAUUCGUUCUGCAAGAUAUUAAUUGCUUUGCAAAUUUGUCUCAGAUACAGAGGACCUUGAAGAGCUGUUCAGGCCGAGGAGUACAGAUCCACGGCAAAAUACCAGAUCAGACAAUUAUCAGAGAAAGGUUCUGAUUAAGACAGUAGUUAGACCAGCUGUGAUGUAUGGAUUGGAGACCGUACCCUUAACGAAGAGACAGGAGGCAAAGUUGGAGGUGGCAGAGUUGAGGAUGUUAAGGUUUGCGACGGGAGUGACGAGGUUGGACAGGAUAAGGAACGAGCACAUCAGAGGGACAGCACAUGUGGAGAGCUUGGGAAUUAAGCUAAGAGAGAUGAGACUGAGAUGGUAUGGGCACAUCCUGAGAAGAGAUGCAGAGCAUGUAGGAAGGAGAAUGCUGAGGAUGGAGCUUCCAGGCAAACGAAAACGAGGAAGGCCAAAGAGGAGAUACAUGGAUGUGGUGAGAGAGGACAUGAAAGUGGAAGAUGUGGUAGAGAAGAAUGCGGAAGACAGGGAGCAAUGGAGACGAAAGAUCCGCUGUGGCGACCCCUAAUCGGGAGCAGCCAAAAGAAGAAGAAGAAGAAUCAGAGAAAGAUUCUGAUGUGCCUAGAUGAAAUUGUGCAGAAUUAUCUGUAGGCUCGCGCUGCUGUGGCUGCAGCAACUAAGGAGACAACGACUGUACCAACCCACCAUUCAUCUGAUUCGGGAACCAGAGACAGCUGUUAGCUCUUUCACUGCUAGAAUUUCUAUGAUUGAAUACUGGUUCACCAUUAAAUAUUUUCUA